rnacentral:rRNA from 1 species
UACGAAGGGGGGCUAGCGUUGUUCGGAAUUACUGGGCGUAAAGCGCACGUAGGCGGAUACUUAAGUCAGGGGUGAAAUCCCGAGGCUCAACCUCGGAACUGCCUUUGAUACUGGGUAUCUCGAGUCCGGAAGAGGUGAGUGGAAUUCCGAGUGUAGAGGUGAAAUGCGCAGAUAUCAGGAGGAACACCAAUGGCGAAGGCAGCUCACUGGGACGGUAUUGACGCUGAGACGCGAAAGCGUGGGGAGCAAACAGG